AACGAACGCUGGCGGCAGGCCUAAUACAUGCAAGUCGAGCGAGAAGCUACCUUCGGGUAGUGGGCAGCGGCGCACGGGUGAGUAACGCGUGGGGAUAUGCCCAAAGGUUUGGAACAACCACUGGAAACGGUGGCUAAUACCAAAUAGUUCCUCCGGGAUAAAGAUUUAUCGCCUUUGGAUUAACCCGCGUUUGAUUAGAUAGUUGGUGGGGUAACGGCCUACCAAGUCGACGAUCAAUAGCUGGUCUGAGAGGAUGAUCAGCCACACUGGGACUGAGACACGGCCCAGACUCCUACGGGAGGCAGCAGUAGGGAAUAUUGGACAAUGGGGGCAACCCUGAUCCAGCCAUGCCGCGUGAGUGAAGAAGGCCUUAGGGUUGUAAAGCUCUUUCAAUAGCGAAGAUAAUGACGGUAACUAUAGAAGAAGCCCCGGCUAACUCCG
rnacentral:rRNA from 1 species